rnacentral:pre_miRNA from 1 species
GAUAUAAGACAACCCUGAGACCGGGGAAAAACAAGGAGAUACAUGACGAAAUCUCAAAUUUCGUCGUGUUUGUCCUUCUUGUUUUCCCUCGGUCUCAGGGUUGUCUUAUAUCAU